rnacentral:rRNA from 1 species
UACGUAGGGAGCGAGCGUUGUCCGGAUUUACUGGGUGUAAAGGGUGCGUAGGCGGGAUUGCAAGUCAGGCGUGAAAUACCGGGGCUUAACUCCGGGGCUGCGCUUGAAACUGUAGUUCUUGAGUGAAGUAGAGGCAGGCGGAAUUCCUAGUGUAGCGGUGAAAUGCGUAGAUAUUAGGAGGAACACCAGUGGCGAAGGCGGCCUGCUGGGCUUUAACUGACGCUGAGGCACGAAAGCAUGGGGAGCAAACAGGAUUAGAUACCCUGGUAGUCCAUGCCGUAAACGAUGAUAGCUAGGUGUGGGGGGACUGACCCCUUCCGUGCCGGAGUUAACACAAUAAGCUAUCCACCUGGGGAGUACGACCGCAAGGUUAAA